rnacentral:rRNA from 1 species
GAUGAACGCUGGCGGCGUGCCUAAUACAUGCAAGUCGAGCGAAUGGAUUGAGAGCUUGCUCUUAUGAAGUUAGCGGCGGACGGGUGAGUAACACGUGGAUAACCUGCCCAUAAGACUGGGAUAACUCCGGGAAACCGGGGCUAAUACCGGAUAACAUUUUGAACCGCAUGGUUCGAAAUUGAAAGGCGGCUUCGGCUGUCACUUAUGGCUGGACCCGCGUCGCAUUAGCUAGUUGGUGAGGUAACGGCUAACCAAGGCAACGAUGCGUAGCCGACCUGAGAGGGUGAUCGGCCACACUGGGACUGAGACACGGCCCAGACUCCUACGGGAGGCAGCAGUAGGGAAUCUUCCGCAAUGGACGAAAGUCUGACGGAGCAACGCCGCGUGAGUGAUGAAGGCUUUCGGGUCGUAAAACUCUGUUGUUAGGGAAGAGCAAGUGCUAGUUGAAUAAGCUGGCACCUUGACGGUACCUAACCAGAAAGCCACGGCUAACUACGUGCCAGCCGCCGCCGUAA